rnacentral:rRNA from 1 species
UGGGGAAUAUUGCACAAUGGGCGAAAGCCUGAUGCAGCGACGCCGCGUGAGGGAUGACGGCCUUCGGGUUGUAAACCUCUUUCAGCAGGGACGAAGCGCAAGUGACGGUACCUGCAGAAGAAGCACCGGCUAACUACGUGCCAGCAGCCGCGGUAAUACGUAGGGUGCGAGCGUUGUCCGGAAUUAUUGGGCGUAAAGAGCUCGUAGGCGGUUUGUCGCGUCGGCCGUGAAAACUUGGGGCUUAACCCCGAGCUUGCGGUCGAUACGGGCAGACUUGAGUUCGGCAGGGGAGACUGGAAUUCCUGGUGUAGCGGUGAAAUGCGCAGAUAUCAGGAGGAACACCGGUGGCGAAGGCGGGUCUCUGGGCCGAUACUGACGCUGAGGAGCGAAAGCGUGGGGAGCGAACA